AAAAAAAAAAAAAACUUUGCCUCUCUUCAGUGCAUCUCCGCAAGAGCAGCUGAGGUAAUGAGUGCUCCUUGCUUGCAGCUAUCUUUCCAAAGGCAGCCACCAAAAUAAGGGAAAGCAUUCAUCAGUGAAACUGUCUCUGUACUUGUUCCUCACCCAUCAGGUGUGACGUUCCUCAGGCUUUGCUUCCAGCAUCUUCUCUCCUCCUUCUAGAUACUCCAUUCAGGCCAUGUCAUCCACUGCAACUUUGAAAUCUCAAUCUUCAGUCUGGAAUUUCAUAUAGUUCAGAAUUUCAUAUAGUUCAGAACUGUAUAUCAAAAUGUCAGCUGGAUCACUCAAACAACGAUAAAGACACAACCAUUUUUUUUAUUUACAAUAUCUAGUUAUCUUUCUCCAACUCAGAAAACCGUUUGUCUCCAGAGAGUUUGUCUCCAUGUAACCUGACCUUCCCAAUCCCCCUCAUCCCCAUGUCCAUUAAACCCCCAUCUUACUAUCUUUUGUAUGCUGAACCUCUUAAAUGUAUAGACUAUAUACUCCUCGCUGUCUCUGAUGAAGCCCAAUGUCAUCUACUCUCUAGACUACUAUGACCAACUGUAUCCAUGGUCCCCAUCAUACUUGGUCCCCUUCAGAUUAACAUACAUAAAAUUAUGUAAUUUAUCAUAUUUGCCAAAUACUAGAAAUGAAAGUCAGCUUUAAUAUUUACAGAAAAACACAAGAGCCUAGCAUGGUUGCCAUCUGAAAGGCUCUACCAGCAGCUGACUGAGACAGAUACAGAUACUACAGCCAACCACUGGACUGAAGUCGGGAACACCUAUGGAAGAGUCAGGAGAAGGAUUGAAGGAGCUGGCAGGGAUGGCAACCCCAUGGGAAGACGAACAGUAUCAACUAACCUGGACCCCUCAGAACCCCCAGAGCCUGAGUCACCAACCAGACAGCAUAUGUGGACUGGUUGGUGCCACCCCACACAUAUGUAACAGAAGACUGCCUUGUCUGGCUUUAGUGGGAGAUGAUGCACUUAAUCCUGUAAAGACUUGAUUCUCCAGGGAAGAAGGAUGCUGAGGGGGCAGGCAGCACUCUCAGAGGGAGGGGGAGGAGGUAAGGAACUCUGGGAGGGGGAUGGUAGGGGCAACAUUUGGAAUGUAAAUAAAUAAAAUAAUUAGAAUUUUUUUAAAAAA
rnacentral:lncRNA from 1 species